ACGAUAGCGAGGUGGGACAGAAUCUGAAUCCGAUGAGGUUCCACCCUUUCAUUAAGUUCAGUAGGGACAGGGGUCUUUAGUGCCUCGGUCAGUCGCCUGAAAAGCGAAAAAAAAUUUUAAAAAGACACAACGUUACGUUUCAAAUUGGCAUUAGCGCAAACACUGCUAACCUCUUACAUUUCUUGAGUACAGCCCGGUGGUUCAAGCGUUCGCUCAUCACGCCGAAGACCCGGGUUCGAUUCAUGGGUACAAUGUGUGAGGCUCAUUUCUGGUGUCCUCCGCAGUGAUAAAGCUGGAAUAUUGCUAAAAGUGGUGUAAAACUAAACUCACUCACUCACUUGACUACACUGUGAAAAUACGAGGUACUGUAGCUCACAUAAAUAAUGAAGAAACAGUUACUGGACACUUCAUCCUUAUUAUGAUGGCAAACAUUCACAUUUAUUGGAGUGAUUUUAGCUUUCCGUGCUUUAUUGUACUUUGAAAAAAAUCUUUUUUUUUAAACUAAACCGAAAAAAUAUAUUAAAACAUCACAAUA